ACGCACGCUGGCGGCAUGCCUAACCCAUGCAAGUCGAACGAUGCCUUCGGGCAUAGUGGCGCACGGGUGCGUAACGCGUGGGAAUCUGCCCUUGGCUUCGGAAUAACAGUUAGAAAUGACUGCUAAUACCGGAUGAUGUCCCCCUGAGAGAUCUUGGGGACCAAAGAUUUAUCGGCCAGGGAUGAGCCCGCGUAGGAUUAGGUAGUUGGUGGGGUAAAGGCCUACCAAGCCGACGAUCCUUAGCUGGUCUGAGAGGAUGAUCAGCCACACUGGGACUGAGACACGGCCCAGACUCCUACGGGAGGCAGCAGUGGGGAAUAUUGGACAAUGGGGGGAACCCUGAUCCAGCAAUGCCGCGUGAGUGAUGAAGGCCUUAGGGUUGUAAAGCUCUUUUACCAGGGAUGAUAAUGACAGUACCUGGAGAAUAAGCUCCGGCUAACUCCGUG
rnacentral:rRNA from 1 species